rnacentral:rRNA from 1 species
GACGAACGCUGGCGGUGUGCUUAACACAUGCAAGUCGAACGGUAAGGCCCUUUCGGGGGUACACGAGUGGCGAACGGGUGAGUAACACGUGAGUAACCUGCCCUCAUCUCUGGGAUAACAGUCGGAAACGGUUGCUAAUACUGGAUAUGAGCUUGCAAGGCAUCUUGUGGGUUGGAAAGAUUUUUUUUGGUUGGGGAUGGACUCGCGGCCUAUCAGCUUGUUGGUGAGGUAGCGGCUCACCAAGGCUUCGACGGGUAGCCGGCCUGAGAGGGCGACCGGCCACAUUGGGACUGAGAUACGGCCCAAACUCCUACGGGAGGCAGCAAUGGGGAAUAUUGCACAAUGGACGGAAGUCUGAUGCAGCAACGCCGCGUGCGGGAUGACGGCCUUCGGGUUGUAAACCGCUUUCAAUUGUGACGAAGCUUUUUUGUGACGGUAGCAGUAGAAGAAGCACCGGCUAACUACGUG